rnacentral:rRNA from 1 species
CCUACGGGAUGCAGCAGUGAGGAAUAUUGGUCAAUGGACGGAAGUCUGAACGAGCCAUGCCGCGUGCAGGAAGACGGCUCUAUGAGUUGUAAACUGCUUUUGUACAAGGGUAAACCUGAAUACGUGUAUUCAGCUGAAAGUACUUUACGAAUAAGGAUCGGCUAACUCCGUGCCAGCAGCCGCGGGAAUACGGAGGAACCAAGCGUGAUCCGGACUUAUUGCGUGUAAAGGGUGUGUAGGCGGAUUGAUAAGUCAGAGGGGAAAUGUCCGAGCUUAACUCGGGAACUGCCUCUAAUACUGGUGAUCUAGAGAGUAGGUGCGGUAGGCGGAAUGUAUGGUGUAGCGGUGAAAUGCGUAGAGAUCAGAAAGAACACCGAUUGCGAAGGCAGCUUACCGGUCUAUAUCUGACGUUGAGGCACGAAAGCGUGGGGAGCAAACGGGAUUAGAUACCCUAGUAGUC